rnacentral:rRNA from 1 species
UACGUAGGGGGCAAGCGUUGUCCGGAAUUAUUGGGCGUAAAGAGCGCGUAGGCGGUCCGGUAAGUCGGCUGUGAAAGUCAAGGGCUCAACCCUUGAAAGCCGGCCGAUACUGUCGGACUAGAGUCCGGAAGAGGCGAGUGGAAUUCCCGGUGUAGCGGUGAAAUGCGCAGAUAUCGGGAGGAACACCUGCGGCGAAGGCGGGUUGCUGGGCUGACACUGACGCUGAUGCGCGAAAGCCAGGGGAGCGAACGGG